GAUGAACGCUAGCGGCAGGCUUAAUACAUGCAAGUCGAGGGGCAGCGCAGUGUAGCAAUACACUGGCGGCGACCGGCAAACGGGUGCGGAACACGUACGCAACCUACCCAUAACUGAUGAAUAGCCCUCCGAAAGGAGGAUUAAUACAUCGUAACUUUAUGAAGCGGCAUCGCUUUAUUAAUAUAGCUCCGGCGGUUUUGGAUGGGCGUGCGCCUGAUUAGGUAGUUGGCGGGGUAACGGCCCACCAAGCCUGCGAUCAGUAACUGGUGUGAGAGCACGACCAGUCACACGGGCACUGAGACACGGGCCCGACUCCUACGGGAGGCAGCAGUAAGGAAUAUUGGUCAAUGGACGCAAGUCUGAACCAGCCAUGCCGCGUGAAGGAUGAAGGUCCUCUGGAUUGUAAACUUCUUUUGAAUGGGACGAAACCUCUUUUUCUUGAGAGACUGACGGUACCAUUAGAAUAAGCACCGGCUAACUCCGUG
rnacentral:rRNA from 1 species